GUCUCUCUCGCCUCUCUGGGUCUCCUCCGCCUCCUGCCCGGUGGCUCCUAGGGCGUCACUCGGCCUCUGUCCCCCUGACGAUCCCCCCUGCAACUCCUCCACCACGGGCCAGAGACCCCCCUCUCUGGGUGGCAGACACGGGUGGCUGUGCCGGCUGGUUUGAAGUAGAGAGUUGACUUGCAGUUAGUGACAGUGUUUUGCUGCUGCUGAAGAAUCCAGACCAAGUCGCUGGCCCAGUGAUCCAUUGCUCAACUUCAUUAACCACAGAAAGACAUUAAGUGAACGUAAGGACCGGAACAGCCUGGAAACCACGUGACUCCAGUAUAUUUUAUGCCACCUCAACUGUGCAUCAAGCUUUCUUCCCAGGACUCAUUAGAACUGUGGGCCCAAAGGUGCCCCUCAACUCUCAGAAGCAAAUAGAGAAUGAUAUAAUUCGCUCAGAGAACACCUUUCUGUCUUAUCCAGAGCAUGUCUUAUCUAUUACAAUUAGGCAUUAAGCGUCCUAUUGUCCUGAAAAUUUCAUGAGAUUCCACCCCUGCUUGCUAGGAUUAUGUCAAAGUGACUUGUCCUGGAUGCUGUUUUUGCCCAUGAAUACAGCUUGUCUUUUCUCCGUAACCAUUGCUGGGAAGACCAACACGGCCAAGGAACCCAGAGGGUUCAGAUGGUGGGAGAAUUUGGGACUGUUGCAAAUUCUCUUGUGUGUCUUGCUUUUGGUUCCCCAAGAAGCAGACCCCAAGAGAAAGAUGUGAGAACAAAUAGGAUAUUUGGGAGGUAAUCCUAGGGAACUCCCGGAGGAAGUGAAGAGUGAAUAGGAAAAGGAUGCAGCUAAUAGCAGCGUGUUAUCAAGCAGGUUAUCACUGUGGGCAACUGGAGCGUACUUCUGCUGGGGGGACGCCAGGGUCGGUGUAACAGACCAUGCACAUCUGAGAUACUCCUUCUGAAGCAGGAGAGAGCUGGAGUAUUUAUCCACCAGUUCCUGCCUCUCAUGGGAUAAGGGCCUCUCCUGGCCUUCCCUGCAGGCAAAGAGCCACAGUUGCAGACAGUUCAACCGGGGUAUGAAGAAGCAGAUCGAGUACCAGGCAAUGUCUGUAAGAUUGGAAUCUCCCAAACUGUGAGCUUCCCACAGGCAAAGACCAAGACUGCCUUAUGCACUGCAGUGUCUCCACUUCUUAGCACAGUUCCAGGCAUACAGCACACCUUCAAUAAUUAUCUAUCAAAUGCUCAGCGUAUUUGAAAGCCUCACACCGUGCCUCUUGUAGUUGCUCUCUGCUUUAGUCCUAUUGUUUAUAAUGUCUUUAGUACUUACUUACAAGUCUUUUUUACUUGCUGAUUUUGUCGGUGUCCCCUUUCCCCCACAAGUGUGCUCACUGGGGGCAGGGGUCUCUCCUCAUUAGACCUCUAGUAGGGGUGUAGAAUAGAGCUCUCGUGAUUAUCAUAGCUCAAGCUUUUAAACAAAAUGAAAGACGUGAUCCAAAACUUAAGCAUAAAAUGGGAGCAGAAUGUUUGAAAUUAGAAUUNCC
rnacentral:lncRNA from 1 species